CAAAAUGUAGUUUAACAAAAACAUUUCGCUUACACCGAAAAAAUAUCUGAUAAAAUCGGCCAUUUUGA
rnacentral:tRNA from 1 species